rnacentral:rRNA from 1 species
UACGUAGGGGGCGAACGUUGUCCGGAUUUAUUGGGCGUAAAGAGCUCGUAGGCGGCUCAGCAAGUCGGCCGUGAAAACCCGGGGCUCAACCCCGGGACGCCGGUCGAAACUGCUGUGGCUAGGGUCCGGUAGAGGAGAGUGGAAUUCCCGGUGUAGCGGUGGAAUGCGCAGAUAUCGGGAGGAACACCAGUAGCGAAGGCGGCUCUCUGGGCCGGUACCGACGCUGAGGAGCGAAAGCUAGGGGA